UGCCAGCAGCCGCGGUAACACGGGGGGCGCAAGCGUUAUUCGGAAUUAUUGGGCGUAAAGGGCGCGUAGGCGGUCUUGUCGGUCAGAUGUGAAAGCCCGGGGCUCAACCCUGGAAGUGCAUUUGAAACAGCAAAACUUGAGAUCGGAAGAGGAAAGCGGAAUUUCUAGUGUAGAGGUGAAAUUCGUAGAUAUUAGAAGGAACAUCAGAGGCGAAGGCGGCUUUCUGGACCGAUACUGACGCUGAGACGCGAAAGCGUGGGGAGCAAACAGGAUUAGAUA
rnacentral:rRNA from 1 species